rnacentral:lncRNA from 1 species
CCAGCUUGAAGGACCCCCCACCAUGGUCCCCGCCAAACUUGAUCCAGACUUGAUCUUCAGGGAUCACCCCAUCAUGAUUUGUGAGAAAUCCACUCCUGUGGAAAGAUGGGAUAUGGAAGAGUAGAGCUGGGAGAAGUUUUGCUUCCUUAGAAGUGGACAGUGAACUGGGAAAUAAACUACAGCCCUAACAAGGAUCACUAAACACCUCCAGUCUGUGACUCUUCUAUGGACCAAGCAAGUCCCUGCCCCCCCCCCCCCCCCCGGUUCAAAUGAGGAUUGGCCAACCUAGUCUUUUGUUAAUUGCCUUCAGACUGGAACUGCACAGUACAAGUCCUUAGUAUGCAGGAAUGGGGCUACAGCAGUGAUAGAGACACUACAUGUGACGGGGGGGAGAUCGGACAAUACAAUACCUGUUAAUCUGCUUCCUCGUACUGUUUGCCCAAUAUCUGAAGUCUUCCCCCCAAAGCCAGAUCUUCAUUCGACAGGACUUAAGUAGUUACCCACAGACAAGAAGAAUGAGGAAACUUAAGAUAACAAGGUGUCUGAAUUAUGGCAUGACCAUCUUCCUGGAGCUUCUUCCAAACGACGAAACUGGAGGCUCUUUCCACUGAUCUGGGAAUAUCAGCACUAUGUCGUAUUGCUUCUUCAAUCGCCACCCCAGCUUUUUGGAGAGUUACAUUUUGACGCUCUACCGGUCUUUCUUGCAGUUUGCAUAUAUGUUGUGAGAAUGUUUGUAGAAGUCCAGUUUUACCACAUACACAAUAAACUUCAAGUUCACAUAAAGUUGUGUACAAAAACCGAGGACUGCUAGUAACAUCAGCUAUGGAAAUGUUCUUGCUACAAAUUGGACAUGGUGAAACUGUACAUUUGUUAUAUAUGAAGUAUUUACUGAGGCACUCACUACAGAAGUUACAUGUAUGUUCACAAGAUGUUUGUACACUUGUACCACAUCCCAAAAUACACUGACAAAUUGCACAGGUGAAUAAAUUACAGUCAUGUUCAUGAACAGUUGAUAGUUGCUCAGAACUGGGAAUGACAAUACUUCCUUUAUGUAAAUGUUCAAAUAUGUUGCCAGCAGGAAUAGUAUACUCUAGAGAUUUUGUCUUGUGUAAAUGAUGGUAAGUGUACUUCCUUUUUUUCUGUGGAUUUAGUCUCCAUUUGUGAUGACAGAUGCGACAGUUUUUUCUCAAAUGUUUUGUCCACUGAAUAGUUGUAAAAUGCUGUGAGCCGUAGUUUCUUCUUCCAGAAGACUGGUGCUGAACUUUUCGUAGACAUUUUCGACAUAGAUGUUUGGGAUGGAUUUCAGCUUGAUCAUCAAACGUGCUUACAUCAAACACUGCAAGAAUUUCUUUUCUGUAUCUUUCAGUUGCGCAUUCUUUUAAUUUAUCAGUAGCAUGUACCCUUCCAGCACAUACUCUGCACAUUGAUGUCAGUACUUGUACAUGUUUCUCAAAACUCUCAUUUGCUGAUGUUGUCUAGUAAUAGAAAAAACAAUUAUAAUGAUUUUUUUUUAAUUUGAUAGCAGAAUAUUUAAUAAAAAUAAUGAAAAAUUAGCUACUGUAAUACAUAUACAGCAGAUUUGACUUGUUGAAAUGAACUCUCCCAGUAAAAUGAGAUCUUCACCCAAUCCAGGUACCCAUGAAUUACAUGUCUAUGAACUAAACUUUUUGCUCCUUUAUCUUAUCUACACAUCAGUUUCUUUAUGCAAUUUAUAAGUAAGGCCUUGUGUGACGUUUUUAUCAAGAUCAUAUCUAGAGGGGGAUCCAACAAGCCACUACU